rnacentral:lncRNA from 1 species
GCUGUACUUCUAUUGCAGGGUAUUGGGCAUAUUUUGUUAAAGACAAUUCAAAUAUGGUUCGCAUUCAGUCGAAUUCAUAUGUAUUGCUAUGUUUAACACUGAUUAUCAUUCUUUUGAAUAAUGUUGCUAAUGUUGCAGGAUUAUAUCAUUGAAUUCACUUCUUUGAUGUAGCAUUACAACAUGUGCAAAAAAUUCAUGGAAACACA